UCGGGAAUUUUGGGCAAUGGGCGAAAGCCUGACCCAGCAACGCCGCGUGAAGGAUGAAGUAUUUCGGUAUGUAAACUUCGUAAGAAUAGGAAGAAUAAAUGACGGUACUAUUUGUAAGGUCCGGCUAACUACGUGCCAGCAGCCGCGGUAAUACGUAGGGACCAAGCGUUGUUCGGAUUUACUGGGCGUAAAGGGCGCGUAGGCGGUUUGUCAAGUCAGUUGUGAAAUCUCCGAGCUUAACUCGGAACGGUCAACUGAUACUGUCAAACUAGAGUACAGAAGGGGCAAUCGGAAUUCUUGGUGUAGCGGUGAAAUGCGUAGAUAUCAAGAGGAACACCUGAGGCGAAGGCGACUUGCUGGACUUAUGGUGACGCUGAGACGCGAAAGCGUGGGGAGCAAACAGGAUUAGAUACCCACGUAGUCCCUGAGCGGGCUGGCAAGGCGCAU
rnacentral:rRNA from 1 species